UACAGAGGGUGCAAGCGUUGUUCGGAAUUAUUGGGCGUAAAGCGCUUGUAGGCGGUCUGUUAAGUCGCGUGUGAAAUCCCCAGGCUUAACCUGGGAAGUGCGCGCGAAACUGGCGGACUUGAAUGCCGGAGAGGGUCGCGGAAUUCCCGGUGUAGAGGUGAAAUUCGUAGAUAUCGGGAGGAACACCAGUGGCGAAGGCGGCGACCUGGACGGACAUUGACGCGUGA
rnacentral:rRNA from 1 species